rnacentral:lncRNA from 1 species
GGUUGAUGCCCCGUACCUGUCAGUGUUCAAGAGGUAUUUGGACAAUGCCCUCGCUAAUAUGCUUUGACUUUGGGUUAGCCCUGAAGAGGUCAAGCAGUUGGACUAGAUGGUCUUUGAAGGCUCUUUCCUACUGAACUAUUCUAUUCUAUUUAAUCUUCUCUGCAUAUGCAACAUCAGAGACACAUGCUUUAUGGAAAAAAAAAUGCUUCUGCUUUAUAGAUAGGUCUUUUUUUUUUUCUUUUUUUUCUUUUUUUUUUUUCUGUGCUUCUACCAAGAUAAAAACAAAACAGAACAAAAUGUUCUAGAUAGUGUCAAAGAUUUUGGUAGUUACUUCAAAGGUCAAUGAAGUUCUUCACUGAUUCACUAAUACUCAGAUCAUCCCUAUCCACUUGUCCUCUCUGAAAUUCACCCCAUUGAGUGUGAACACAAAUGGUUCAUUAUGCUGUAAUCUAAAUGAUCAGUUUGGGCAGAGAGGUGCCUGGCAGUAGAAGUAAACAGCAGGAAGGAGUAAUAAAUAGUACAUUAAAACAAAUCACCCUUGAAUGGCAAGGCGGCAGUUGACCUCAGGCCUUAGUUUGGCAGCUCUUCAUAUUACAGUGAACAUCGUACACUAAACUUGUCCAAAGUCAUUAAGAAAAUGGAAUAGGUUGUUAAAUUUUUGUGUUGAGCUUUUAAAUCCCAAAAUUUUAUGGUCUCUGAAGCAUCUUCACAGUUCUAAAGUGAUGUCAUAAUGAAAAAGUACAGAAAAGAUUUAAAGAAAAUAAUUUAUUUUGAUUAAAUUGCAAUAUAGGUUCACCCAAACUUUGUGUGUUUCUACAGAAUAAUUCUAGUGGGAAAUGGUAACAGGAACUUGAUAUUGGCAAAAAGUAAAAUAAUUAAAGCACACAAGUAUUUGUGUAAAAUUCUACAGAUUAGUGCUACCAUCCAGAAAUUCCCAAAGUCUCCAGCACUGUCAUGUAUUAACAAUGUAAUCUGAAGGUAUAUUUUUAAACUUUGUGAUUCACUGUAGAAUUUGUGUAAUUGUUAGUGUUUACAUUUCAGUGAACACAAUUCUCUGUAUUUCUCUAGCUAUAAAAACACUAGAUGUAAUAUUCAGCUGCUGUGCAAGAUGUCUUCUCAUGUGGGAUCAGGGGAAUUCAAGAGGGACCAGGUGGGGUGAAAAGGGGCUUGGAUCAGAGACCUCUGGAACCCCUGCCCAGCCUGGAAGACUCUAUGAUUUGUGUCUGCCAUAUUAA